ensembl:lncRNA
AUGGGGAAAGACGCAGGAAUCCACCAGCCCACGGGACACACACGUAGCUGGGCAGAAGACCACGGAUUCGGCCACCUGAAGGAGCCCGGUGGGGAACCCGCACGUGGAGGCACGGGGAAAUCCCAGGUGCACACAGCACGGGGGCCGAGAUCGAGGGUCGCUUACGAAACCAGAGGACGAGCAAAUCCUCCUCAGUGCUACAAUACCCUGGCGUUUAUGGCACACAGGAGGAGGAGACCUGGAGCCAGCAGUCCUCACACCCUCAGCAUGGUUGUGCAGAUGUGUCACUGGAGGUUGGAUGGGUCAUCACUUGGACCACGUUCAAGCCACUCCCUGUGGAGUCUGAAAAAUAAAACUUUACAUAUCUACAGGGCUCGAGGGGACAGAGGCGAGUGGCAUCAUCCAGAACAGCACUGACCCUGUGAGCCCUGCAGCCUGUGGAGAGCUGCAGGGCCACGUUCAAACACACCUCAAAUGGAGUCUCUGCUUCUCCCCACUGGUAGCAUACAGAAUUUGGGGCCUGGAAAUGCAAAGAGUGAACUGCAGGUGCCUUUUGUGGUAACAGUAGACAUCCAUGUCCAGAAUGAGCACCACAGAUGGUGGUUUGAGGAGAUCCCCUGGUUCUGGGGCCUUGUAUCUUCUGGGCCUUGUAUCGUGCUGUCUCUCCCUAGUCACAGCCCCAGCAGCUGGAAAAGCCUCCUGAGGCAGAAUUCCAAGUCAUUUUAUACAAAAUAUGGUAAUUAAUGGCCUGAAACAUUUCCAAAUAAAGUGCUACAAAGACAUGACAAUGAUCAUUUUGCCUGGAUUCGAGCCUGGGCCGGUGACCAGCCCUGUCAUGUACCCACACCUGCCGAGCCAGCGCCCAGCCUGUGCCCGUGUUUUCCUUCCACUUUCUUCUCCCGUACUCUGUCGUGGCUGUCAGGAUGCCAAGAGACAUGCGAGACCCCGGGCCAAAAUAGCGACGUAGACAUGCCCAGAGAGGAAAGCUGGCACGAGGUGAUAUAUAAGGUGAGAUACGUGAAGCCGCAGGCGAAUAGUUUGGUGAGCACGUGGGUAGGUUAGGCUUGGCAGGGGGCAGAGCCUGUCUGCCCAUCCAGAAAGGCAGAGGCAAAACUUUAUCAGCUUUGAGAAGUGUUGGAGGCCUUCCUGGUGAGAGCUUCAAGGGAGUAAACCAAAAUAAUUUCCCCAGAAGGGCUGAGGUGUAGGACUCAGUCAUGUCCCUGUGGGGCCACAAACACCUUUCAAGGGAGGCUUUUGCUGAAAGGGAUGAUUCCUGUUCCCCAAAUACCCCACUCCCCGGGAUGUUUUCCAUUUCACGAUAAGGUCCGGGAGUGACUGGAGGAAGGAGCAUGCACCGUGGGCAAGGGGAUCCUCCAUAUCUCUCCUCAGCAUUGACCUAGAAAGUUAAACCUCAAAGGACAGAAGAGGACAACUCAUUCCCCACAGCUGGGGGAACUGUGGCACUGUGAGGCAGCGAGACACACCAUGGAUACACUGCCCAAAAACACCUAAUUACCUUCCUAAUUACCUUAUUCCCCAAAAGUGAAAGUCUCUGUGGGUUGCUACCACUGCUCACGGCCAUCCAGUCCCUUGCUGAACAUUUCUGAUCAAAGCCUUUCCAAGCUGAUCUAUUUUCAGCUCGGCCCACUCAAUACCUUGAUUGCUACACAGCUCUUUUAGCUGCUCUUAGGUAAACACGCUGUCGUUCCCUGGCAUUUUGCCUUGCCAAGCCCAAAAAUACAAGUGGCACAGAAGAAGAAGAGAGGCUGUUCUCCUCCUCCUGGAAAAAUGAUGCUAUUUCUGAAAUAAACUGUUUUAAAUACACCUCCCCGACCAUGGGCAUAUACCUGUGUGUAUAAAUACACUUGACCUGGAGGUCCCACUGUUGGCAUCUUGCAUGCCUGUAUGGAGACAGAACAGAGAGGGAAUUAUAUACAUAUAAACCACGGCACUCCUUCAGAAUGGGGAGUCUUGCUAAUGAUGAAAUAGCAGGGUCUGAAUCCCACUAGGACAGGCCCACAUGUACUGGUCCCAGCUCAAACCAGAGUGUUACAGGCUCUUCUGGAGAGCAGAGAGUCCUUGGGUGCCCACCAUGCUGCCCGUGCCUCAUACCCCCAGUGGAGCAGGGGGUACAGAUCAGACACGAUGGUCCCUCUGAGCUAAAGAGCCCAGAAGUUAUCCCAGAAGUUAUCACUGCUGGGGGCUGUGCAAGCCAGCGCGGUGUUGUUCCUUCCUGGCUCACACCCCUGUUUCUCCACGAGCCGAGACCUUAUUUUUGAGGAAUGACAGUGACAUUGGCCAGAUCCCGAAGUCACUUUUUCAGAUUUCCCUUUAGCAAGUAAACACGUAGAAGUCAACAACAGAUGGAGCAUCACAUGGAGCUACGCAGGUCAGCAAAAGGCUUCAGAGACCCUGUGAGCCUGAAGAAAAAAAAAUAAGCUGGCAGGGGGGAGCGG